rnacentral:lncRNA from 1 species
UCUCUCAGUCACAUCUCAUUCUCCUCCCUCUUGACUCCCUCAAACCCUAGAAAUAGUGGCGGUGUAUUGAUGGCGGCAGCGGCGAGAUAGUGGUGGCCUCUUCUUUAACUUCUCCUCCAUUAUUGCCCAAGUGAGGGUUUUAAUUUCCUAUUUUCUUCAUCUACGUUCUCUUUCCUAGGGUUAUUCUCUCUCUUCAAACAGUUGACGAUAGUGCAGGAGGUUGUUAAUAAUGGCGAGUCGCAGAACAGAAAUUCCAAGGUGGUGACAUUCUCGGCGUUGAAGCCUUAACUGUUUGUUGAGGAUCCGAAAGCAAUAACCUCAGCAGCGGCGAUAUAGUGGUGGCUUUUUCUGAGGAAUACCCUCGUUUUCUGCCCAAUUUCUCGAAUUGUGAUAUCUUAAUGAGGAAAUAGAUUUGCAUAGCUGACCAUGAAGCAUAGGGCCUUCUCUGGAGUGAAUUUAGCUUUGAUUACAACCAUUUUAGGCUGCAAAUAGGUAGAUCCUUACUAGUUGGUAGUAUUAUACAUUGGCGAAGCUUGAUUAUUAAUUGACUAAUUGUUAUUCUGAAGGUUCUGUUUUACUUUGUUGCUUACAUUGAGAAAGAUGGUUAUUCAUUUCAUUGUUCUUUUAUCUUUCUGGUGCACGACAUAUAUGCCUAGCGCAGUGCACAGUCAUUUAACUUUGAAAUUGGUUUAUUUGAUUCUACUAUGAUAUACUCUCGUUUUGUUAGAAACUCUUUUAUGCCUCACUAUAACAGUACUCUGAUAAAGGGACUAACGCAUUAGAUGUACUCUCACCACUCUAACGGGGAAAUGUGCACUUUAAUUAGUUUAUUGUACCUUUUGCUGUAACAAUUUUGUGAAUAGUUCAUAGUUUUAUUGCUUUUCUAUUGUGAUGUUGGCUUUAGCAGGUGCCGCAAUAGUGCAGGUGCUUAUUAUCCCCUCUUUGUUUCUGUCUUCUAGUUUUGUGGGUGAAUGCUUAGAGUCUAUAGAUGUUAACAUCAUAUUUUACAUGUGAAGUGGUGUGGUACCUAGUGUAACCAGCAAAAUUUAUUUCUUUUGAUUUGUUGCGUAUCUCUCUCUUGUGAUGAAGAUUAACUUAUAUUUCCUCUAUCUAACAAAAUUAGGUGAGUUGGAUCACAACUGCAAUAGAUAUGCAAUGAAGGAUGUUGACUGAUUGAAAUGCUCAUCUAUUUCCAUCAACUUUUGUUGAAUGGCUUCAAUCUUGGACGCAUCUUCAUCCACUUUUGGUACACCCUUAAACUAAAUACUGUUGCAAACUUUGCCAUCUGAAUUCUUGAGGUUCAGAUCAAGGUUGUUUACCAGUAAAGUUUCAAUUUGUUACUGUUUCUAUAUCGCUAAUAGUAACUUAAGGCUUCUAUUACCUUCUAAUUGAAAAGAUUCCAGCUUUAUUUGUUCUAAUUGUGUGAAUGCGCAGAUCUGCCUUUGCGUACAACAUGUUGCUGUGUUUGACUUUUUUUAAAUGUAGAUCCUUGUCUGGAUCAAGAAAGUUGUUUACGGGUUAACACCACUAUUAGCAACUUGCCUUGUCAUUAACAAUAUUCAACCUGCUCUCUCUG